rnacentral:rRNA from 1 species
GAUGAAUGCUGGCGGCGUGCCUAAUACAUGCAAGUAGAACGCUGAAGGAGGAGCUUGCUCUUCUGGAUGAGUUGCGAACGGGUGAGUAACGCGUAGGGAACCUGCCUGGUAGCGGGGGAUAACUAUUUGAAACGAUAGCUAAUACCGCAUGACAACAGCUACUGCAUGAUAACUGUUUAAAAGGGGCAACUGCUCCACUACCAGAUGGACCUGCGUUGUAUUAGCUUGUUGGUGAGGCAACGGCCCACCAAGGCGACGAUACAUAGCCGACCUGCGAGGGGGCUCAGCCACACUGGGACUUCAACACGGCCCAGACUCCUGCGGAAGGCACCCGUCGGGGAUCUUCGGCACUGGCCGGAAGUCUGACCCCGCAACGCCGCGUCAGGGCAGCAGGUUUUCGGCUCGUGAAGCUCUGUUAUAACAGAAGAGCGAGUGUGAGCGUGGAAAGUUCACACUCUGCCGGUAUCUUACCAGAACUGGACGGCUACCUACGUG